rnacentral:tRNA from 1 species
AGGAUAUAACUUUAACUUGCAAUUAAAUAUAAUUGAAAAAUUCAAUAUAUCUUA